UCGAACGAACUCUGGUAUUGAUUGGUGCUUGCAUCAUGAUUUACAUUUGAGUGAGUGGCGAACUGGUGAGUAACACGUGGGAAACCUGCCCAGAAGCGGGGGAUAACACCUGGAAACAGAUGCUAAUACCGCAUAACAACUUGGACCGCAUGGUCCGAGCUUGAAAGAUGGCUUCGGCUAUCACUUUUGGAUGGUCCCGCGGCGUAUUAGCUAGAUGGUGGGGUAACGGCUCACCAUGGCAAUGAUACGUAGCCGACCUGAGAGGGUAAUCGGCCACAUUGGGACUGAGACACGGCCCAAACUCCUACGGGAGGCAGCAGUAGGGAAUCUUCCACAAUGGACGAAAGUCUGAUGGAGCAACGCCGCGUGAGUGAAGAAGGGUUUCGGCUCGUAAAACUCUGUUGUUAAAGAAGAACAUAUCUGAGAGUAACUGUUCAGGUAUUGACGGUAUUUAACCAGAAAGCCACGGCUAACUACGUGCCAGCAGCCGCGGUAAUACGUAGGUGGCAAGCGUUGUCCGGAUUUAUUGGGCGUAAAGCGAGCGCAGGCGGUUUUUUAAGUCUGAUGUGAAAGCCUUCGGCUCAACCGAAGAAGUGCAUCGGAAACUGGGAAACUUGAGUGCAGAAGAGGACAGUGGAACUCCAUGUGUAGCGGUGAAAUGCGUAGAUAUAUGGAAGAACACCAGUGGCGAAGGCGGCUGUCUGGUCUGUAACUGACGCUGAGGCUCGAAAGUAUGGGUAGCAAACAGGAUUAGAUACCCUGGUAGUCCAUACCGUAAACGAUGAAUGCUAAGUGUUGGAGGGUUUCCGCCCUUCAGUGCUGCAGCUAACGCAUUAAGCAUUCCGCCUGGGGAGUACGGCCGCAAGGCUGAAACUCAAAGGAAUUGACGGGGGCCCGCACAAGCGGUGGAGCAUGUGGUUUAAUUCGAAGCUACGCGAAGAACCUUACCAGGUCUUGACAUACUAUGCAAAUCUAAGAGAUUAGACGUUCCCUUCGGGGACAUGGAUACAGGUGGUGCAUGGUUGUCGUCAGCUCGUGUCGUGAGAUGUUGGGUUAAGUCCCGCAACGAGCGCAACCCUUAUUAUCAGUUGCCAGCAUUAAGUUGGGCACUCUGGUGAGACUGCCGGUGACAAACCGGAGGAAGGUGGGGAUGACGUCAAAUCAUCAUGCCCCUUAUGACCUGGGCUACACACGUGCUACAAUGGAUGGUACAACGAGUUGCGAACUCGCGAGAGUAAGCUAAUCUCUUAAAGCCAUUCUCAGUUCGGAUUGUAGGCUGCAACUCGCCUACAUGAAGUCGGAAUCGCUAGUAAUCGCGGAUCAGCAUGCCGCGGUGAAUACGUUCCCGGGCCUUGUACACACCGCCCGUCACACCAUGAGAGUUUGUAACACCCAAAGUCGGUGGGGUAACCUUUUAGGAACCAGC
rnacentral:rRNA from 1 species